rnacentral:rRNA from 1 species
AUUGAACGCUGGCGGCAGGCCUAACACAUGCAAGUCGAACGAGUGGCGGACGGGUGAGUAAUGUCUGGGAAACUGCCUGAUGGAGGGGGAUAACUACUGGAAACGGUAGCUAAUACCGCAUACCAUCGGAGGGGCCCAGAGGGGAUGAGCUAGUUGGUGGGGUAAAGGCUCACGAAGGCGACGAUCCCUAGCGGGGCUGAGAGGAUGACCAGCCCCACUGGAAUGGAGACACGGUCCAGACUCCUACGGGAGGCAGCAGUGGGGAAUAUUGCACAAUGGGCGCAAGCCUGAUGCAGCCAUGCCGCGUGUAUGAAGAAGGCCUUCGGGUUGUAAAGUACUUUCAGCGGGGAGGCGUUACCCGCAGAAGAAGCACCGGCUAACUCCGUGCCAGCAGCCGCGGUAAUUC